rnacentral:lncRNA from 1 species
UCCUGGGGGAAAAGCAGCGCUUUUCCUACAGCGGAUCUCCCGUUUGACGAAGAGCUUUGGGAAUGCAAUUCCGCCUCGAAGACCGAGGGCUCAAGGGCGGCUACUGCUCCCGGUCCGCAAUUCAUUCGCUAUCGCCCCCCUCGGAGCCCAACUCCCCGCACCCCCGGCGCCGAGCCCGCACCGCCGGGGGGAUGCGCGGCACCCGCGGCACCCCACGUGCGGGGCAAGGCUGGCGGGGCGCGGCGGACACACGCACACCCGGGGCUCGCACACGCACACCCGCGGCUCGCACACGCACACCCGGGGCUCGCACGCCACCUACCCCGCCGCGGCCACCGGCAGCGCCGAGCCGAGCCGAGCCGGGCAGCGCCGAGCCCAGAGGAGGCGGGCGGGCGGCGGCUGCGGCACGCUGGGAGUUGUAGUCCGCAGCCGGGGGGAGCCGGGGGGGGGGGCCUGGCCUGGCAGCCCCCCCUUUCCGCACACCCGCCUGGUUCCCCAGAGGAAGCGGUGUGCAUCCCUCAGGGAUGCCCGCUGCGGGUGUCAGCACGCACGGGGUGGUGUUCCCCUAAGCAGCUGGGUGGUAACGAUGCUUUCACGAAUGGUCACGGCGUGGCGAGGGGUGAGACCUGGAGAAACGUUCUCAGCGCUGCCAGGCUUGCAGAGAAAUCUCAGGGAAAUAUCAGGCUCGCCACCCGCCGUUACGCGCUUUGUGUGGCAGGCAUAAAGGGAACAUUAAAAACCCUGCUGCCAAAAGACACGGUAAAAAUAGUGGCCGGUUGGCGUGGAGCUUUGCUGACUUUUCUUGUCAGUGCCUUCUCUGAAGUGAUGAACUGGGAUGUGAAAAUAAACUGUGGAGCUGAGAUGAAGAUUUAUCGGAGGAGACCGGGCUCUGGGGGGUGUGGAAGGAGGGACUUUGGGUGUGGAGCCGAAAUGAGGGGGUCCAUAGGAAGAGGAGGAGAGCAGCAUCAGCAUCCCUGGCUAGCGGGGAGGAAAGCAGGGGCAGAAGUGGGAAAGCAAGCUGGGAAGAAACCACCCCAGUCAGGAAAGAGGACAGACUGUGUCAAGGAGUUGUCCCAGCAUGAGGGAACAGGGCAAUUCUGUGUAAUGACUCUGCCAGUUCUGAAACACUCUAUUAGGGAAAGAAACCAAUGUUUUGAGGACAAAUCCAGAUGA